rnacentral:lncRNA from 1 species
AUGCAGCGCGGGACGCCUCAGUUCAGAGCCCAGGCGCCCGUGCCCCAGCCGGCCCCCAGCAGCCAGGCCACGCCCAAACACCUGGGGCUGUGGGCGGCCGGGGGCACCGCGUGCACCCCCACGGCCCACCCCAGUCCUGAGCACCCACCGCGCCGGACCCGCGGCGCCUGCACCCCCAAGUGCCCCAGCACGCCCGGCCGCGCCCCCAGCACCCGCGCCCCCAGCACCCGCGCCCCCAGCACCCACCCCCCAACGCCCCAGCACCCGCGCCCCCAGCACCCAGCACCCGCAGCACCCACCCCCCAACGCCCCAGCACCCGCGCCCCCAGCACCCCAGCACCCACCCAACGCCCCAGCACCCACCCCCCAACGCCCCAGCACCCGCGCCCCCAGCGCCCAGCACCCGCGCCCUCAGCGCCCAGCACCCGCGCCCCCAGCACCCACCCCCCAACGCCCCAGCACCCGCGCCCCCAGCACCCACCCCCCAACGCCCCAGCACCCGCGCCCCCAGCACCCAGCACCCGCGCCCUCAGCCCCCGCGCCCUCAGCGCCCAGCAGCCUCCUAACCGCGCGACAGGUGCCCCUGCUGUGGCGGAAAACACGCGACCCACCCGGCAGUCCCGGGGAGCCCCCGCCUGCACCCGUCGCCGCCCGACGCCGCCCACAGCCUCCACUGAGCACCCCAGCUCCCGCCCAGGCCGACCCGCGGCGUCCGAGGCCCCCGCCAGCCGCCUCCCAGGCGCCCUCGCGGCGAGCGCGUGGACACGUGACCCGGACGCAGCCAACGGCGGACGCUGCUGCCCGCGGAAGGCAAAGGCGCCGGCGCUUCCGCGCGUGCCUGGCCCUUGGCCGCGCCGGCGCCUCGGAUUGGCCGCGUCCGGGUCACGUGGCCACGCCGCGGCCGCGCCCCCGCCCCGCCGCCCCGUCCGGCUGGCGGCGCCCCGCCUUGGUGGUCUCGCUGUCGCCGCGCGGCGGGGGCGGGGGCGGGGGCGCGGCGUGGAGGGCAGCGCGGGAGGGCAGUCAGCGGGCCCUCUCCCUCCAGAGGUGCAGCCUGCGCUGCUGCCGCCGCCUCCUGCCCCGCCGUCCUCCUCGCGGACGGAACGACCGGGGCGAGGUCAGCGCGUCCGUGGCCCGAGCGUCGGCCUCACUGAGAGCAAGAGCCGGGGCCACCAGGGUCCGAGCCCUCCUCCCCGCACUCACUCCCCUGCCCUCCCGCCCCAGGAGGAGCCCCGGGACGGAGAGGGGCCUCGGCCGACGGACUGCAGCCCCUGCAGCUGGCGCCACGAGCUCCAGACGCUAUCCCUGGGGAGCACCCAGGUUCCCUGCAGACCUGAGGGGUAUGGUCCACAAAGAGCCACCCACCUGUUAGCCACAUCCUUCCGGGUGGGAAGCACACUUCUCUGGGACUAG